rnacentral:rRNA from 1 species
UAGGCUCAGUGACUGGGGUGAAGUCGUAACAAGGUAGCCGUAGGGGAACCUGCGGCUGGAUCACCUCCUUU